rnacentral:sRNA from 1 species
AUGAAUCAAGGUGGCAGUGACGAUGAAAAUUUUUACCUCAACCCAACAUUUCUGUCAUUUAAUAACAUUUCAGACAAAUCCGUUUUAAGUGACACUUUCCUUAGCAAAAAUUGUUUGGGCGAAACAUAUACACCAAUUUCAAGGUCUGAUUCUGACUCUAGUUUUGCUGAAAAAUAUUUAAUGGUACAAACUCCCGAAACACCUGAAAUAGACCCAAUUCAGCCAUACUUCACAAAAACUGUAUUAACACCUGCUGAUAUUGAUGAACAAUUAGUUUCCGCUAGACAAAAUAUAAAAUGCAAUUCCGAAAAUUUGAAGAAAGUAACAUUUAGCACAAGUACCCCCUCAAUCAUAAAUUCAAGUUCAAAAUACAGGAGCAUUGCAGUAAUGGAAAAAUUGGGUACAUGCCGAAAAUUUGCGGGUUAUCCUAAAGACAAUGGAACAAAAUUUCUACGAGAAUUUGAGUCAUUCUGUAAGCUUCACGAACUAGACAUUUUAAAUGAAAAGACAGUUGCUGCUUUUCAUCUUCAUUUAGAGGGACCCGCCCUCACUUGGUUUAACGGUCUUAGCCCGGAUCUUUCAUGGACCACUGUAAAGAGACUAUUUACUGACAAAUAUGUUCAGAUUGGUUGGCAGCAUCCUUCGGUAGUUAUAGAAAGUGAAACUUUUCACAAUAUGCAAUUGGGUCCAACACAGGAAAUUGAAGAUUUUUCUUGUCAAGUUCAAGAAAAGGGGCAAAUAUUAGCUAAACCUGAACAUGAAAUUAUGUUUCGUUUCAUCAAUGGUCUACCUGAGAAACUAGCGUUUUAUGUUAGGACUAGUCAUCCAAAAACUCAAUCAGAAGCGUUAUCAUUUGCCAAAGCAGGCGAGGCAUAUAAAUAUCGAAUUCACGAACAAUGCGCCGCUGUUGGAAAAGGUCCCUCAUUCCGAAAUGCUCCACAUUCCGAUGAUAUAUCGGAGAUGAAAUCGCAAAUUUCUGAGUUGACUAACAUGAUGAAGAGACUGACCCCUGAUAAGACAUUUCAACAAAAUGACCAACGACAGUCAUCAGGUUGUUUUAAUUGUAGUUGUACCGGACACGCUAAAAGGUAUUGCAAUUGGAAUGGAAGUGGAACGAUAUCGGCUGACAUUUCUUGUCAGCUAUGUAAUCAGUCAGGACAUGGUGCAGGUCAAUGCCUAAAAUUCAAAGCAAAAACUGAUAACUAUAAUAGGAAUCGUGUUGUUUGUCAGAUAUGUUCUAAACCAAACCAUACAGCAUCUGAAUGCUAUCACAAUCAAUUCGCUCAACAGGGAAACCCGAAUUUCCUGGGGGACACCAGGCACGGCCCCUCAGGAAGGUAAAUGGUGCCGAAUAUCGAGAGCCUGCUCCUUUUCGUCAUUCAGGGAUUGUAAAUACUUUGACUAAUACUAAUAAUGUACCUAGCUUUAGUGGUUAUAGUGACAAUGAUACAUCCGAGUUUUACUCUGACAACGAAAAUUUUUCGAUUGCACGAACAGACUCUAAGUUUAUCUAUUUACAUGUUAAAUUUCAUUCUGUACAAGUUGCAGCACUCCUUGAUUCGGGAAGUUCAAUCAAUAUUAUGUCCACAAGUUUAUACAAUUCUAUUCCACAAGCGUGUAAAUCGAUGAUUGAUGUAAAUAAUGGUGACAAUAUAAAGUUAGCUAAUGACCAAAAUGUGCAGGUAAAAGGUACUGCUACAGUGAAAAUGUACUAUAAGGGUGAUAAACAUUGUUUACAAGUGUAUAUACUGGAGCAAACGUCCCAUUCAUUUAUUUUGGGUACAUCGUAUUUAAAAGACAAUAAAAUUACUAUUGAUUUUGGAGAGUCCGAAGUUGUUCAAAAACAUGCAAACAUAAGGUGUCGAAAACGCAUUACUCUAGAUCCACACAGCGAAAUUAUAAUAUGGGGUAGACUACCGAGAAAUAUUCACUUCGGUUAUCAAGGAAUGUGUGAAAGUAGUACUCAGAUAUUGUCACAUGGUUUAAUUUCUAGUAAAGCCGUAGUUACUGUAUCACAAGACAGAACCGUACCCGUUAAAAUUUUGAAUCCCGGCAGUAAUUCUGUUGUUAUUCCGAAAGGUAAAAUCAUUGCCAAAUUUAGUCAAUUGACCGAGGAGUACCAGGUCCGACAUGUUAAUUGCAAGAACAAUGUUCCUGUUGUACAAAAUAUUAAUUUAGUGAAACAAUGUCCAGCUGAACAAGGUGACAGCAUAAAUUGCGAAUUUCUAGAAAAUUUUGAAAUUAAUCCGAAUCUAAAGGACGAUCAAAAGAUUGCAUUAAAUCAUUUAUUAUGUGACAAUAAGGAGGUAUUUGUAACAACGGAUAGUCCGAAUCUUGGCUGCACUGAUAUUGCUCAACACCAUAUCAUACUUAAACCAGAUAUGAGACCUUUACAUCAAAAACCGUAUAGAUUAACUCCUCACAAAAAGGAGGUAUUAAGACACCAUCUUGAUGAGCUUCUACAACAAGGUGUUAUUUGUGAACUCAACGCAACUGAAGAGGUACCGAUUACGAGCCCAGUUGUUUUAGUGGCAAAACGUUCGAAACCGUCUUCUGAACAAAUAAGUGAAAAAACUACUAGUUUAAGACAAUUUAGAUUUUGUGUCGACUUUCGUUAUUUAAAUACCCAAACGGAGCCUCUUAAAUCAUUUAUUCCGGAUAUACAAGAGCUAACAGAAUCCUUUACGGAACGAAUUCCAAAUUAUAUAGCGUCAAUAGACAUGAGUAGUGGAUUUUUUCAAAUGAAGUUGUCACCAAAUAGUUCGAAAUAUACCGCAUUUAAUACAUGUUUCGGGACUUACAAGUUUUUGCGAGUACCAAUGGGUUUACACACAGCUCCCAACUCAUUUCAGUUGUUAAUGGACAAGAUUUUACGAGGUUUGACAUUUAAAUCUUGCUUAUGUUAUCUAGACGACGUUCUCAUUUGCUCCGAAACUUUCGAACAACAUAUGUCUGAUCUUCAAGAAGUUUUUGAUCGUUUCCGUAAUGCAGGGCUUAAACUUAAUCCACAGAAAUGUACUUUUGCAAAUUCGUCAGCAAUAUUUUUAGGACACCAUAUUUCAAAAGAAGGCAUCCGACCACCUCCCGACCGUGUCAGGGCUUUGAAUGAAUUUCCUCCUCCACAGAAUGUUAAACAGCUACGUCGUGCGUUAGGUAUGUUUAAUUGGUUUCGGAAAUUUAUUCCAAACUACAGCUCAGCGGCCGAACCGCUUACUCGAUUAUUAAAGAAAUCUGCUAAAUUUGUGUGGUCACAGGAACAGGAAACAUCAUUUACAAGAAUCAAACAUUUAUUGCUAACAUCCGCAGUUUUGGCAUUUCCUAGAUUUGAUUUACAAUUUUUCCUAGCAGUAGAUAGUUCAGCGACAGGUAUAGGCUACAUGCUUUAUCAAAAAACACCCAAGUGAUACAGGUGAACAAAUCCGAGUGGUACGGUUUGGGUCUAAAUCAUUGAACUCAUGGCAGAAAUCAUACGGACCAACCAAAUUGGAAUUACUAGGAGUUGUUACAAGUAUAGUUGACUGUGCUAGUUAUUUACGCGGAGACAGAUUCACCGUAGAAUGUGACCAUCAGGCGUUGCGAUCGUUAUUUCAAAAUCAGUUUAAAGGAGCCAUUUACGACCGAUGGUUAGCUGUGUUACAACAAUUUAAUUUUGAUAUCAAAUACAAGCCUGCCGCCGAUAUGCAAGUUCCCGAUGCACUUUCAAGAGUCGAAAAUGCGCCACUACUGGACGUUAAUGCGGAAGAAUCACUUAAUGAAAAUGACCCCCAUUUUCCGUAUGAAGUCGAAGAAGUUGGAAAAAUUUCAUUUGUUAAUUUUGCAAAACUCAGUACUGACGAAAUCGAAACGGGUUAUACAGCAGAUACCGAGGAGGAGUCGAGUAAAUUGACAUUCAAACAAGAAAGUAUUGAUGGACAUUCGUCUUUACCGUGCAAUUCAGUGACUUUAGCCGAUAGUGGGAUUACUUCGAAUUACCCUGAUGAUAACCGAACUACUAAUGAAAACGAUUCACUUUUUAUCGAUAGUCACUCAUGUGACGUAGAUAGUUCCGAAAACAAUUCUUUUUUACAGAGGCACCCGACGGAUUUAUUCGAUGUAUGUGGAAAUGAAUGCGUUUCUGACUGUGCUUGUGACACUUUGUUUGUAAAUAAAUAUGAAAAUGAGACUGAUAACUUACGCAUUGAUGAUUUAACUCCUAUUUUACAACGGCAUCCUAUUGAUUUUAUUGAUUCUUGUGGACCUGAAUGUGAUCAAACUGGUGAUAGUUUAUAUUUACAUGUACAUAACUCUGGAUUUGGUACUGAAUUCACAACAGUACAGGAUAUAAAAUUUGUUGGCACAGCUGAUAAGACACGUGAUCAGCCAACUGAUUUUAACAGAGAAAAUAUUAAACAUUUACAAAGACUAGACGAAACAUUACUUCCAGUUAUUCUUUACUUAGAAAAUGGAACAUUACCGAAACUUCAGAAGGAAGCUCGUCGUUUGUUAUUAAAAGCACCUGAUUACAGCAUGAUCGAUGACUUAUUAUUUCACUCGCGGGUUGCAAAGUCGAAACGCACCCAAAGAAUGGGAGAAUUUCAGUUAGUUAUUCCUAAACAAUUGAUACCUAAAGUUUUAGAAACUUACCACCAAACACCUUUAGCAGGCCAUAUGGGUAUACAACAAACAGUGGACAAUAUUUCAGAACAAUUUUAUUUUCAAAACUUGCCAUCAACAGUGUCAAGUUAUGUUCGUUCUUGUCACGACUGUCAGGAACGAAAGAUGACAAAAGCUCAUACGAAGUCCGAAAUAAUUUCUUUUCGAACGCCUACAGAACCUUUUCAAACUUGGCAGGUAGACUUGUUUGGACCAUUGCCAAUAACACAAAAAGGGAACGCAUAUGUUUUCACAGCAGUUGAUAUGUUUUCCAAACUAUUAUUUUGUGUUCCGUUACUCAGUUCAGACUCAGUUACAGUGUCACAUGCACUUUUUCAAUUAGUAUGUACUUUUGGCGUGUGUGAUUGCGUUAUAAGUGACAAAGGUAGUGAAUUUAUUUCACAAUGCACUGAUCAGCUUUGCAAAAUUUUAGAAGUAAAUCAAAACUUUACCCCAAGUUUUAUACACCAUUGCUUGGGAUUGUGCGAACGUACACAUAGGACUGUUGCAGAACGUUUAACACCUUAUACUAAAAAGGGAAUACAGUGGGACAAUAUGUUACCUGCGAUAACAUUUUCUUUUAAUAUCUCGCCAAGUGACUCAACUAAAUAUUCGCCGUACGAAGUGGUUUACGGAUUUCGUCCGAAAUUUCCUCUUUCCGUUUCGAAACUUGGAAUAGACCUUAAUUCGCUUCAUAGUGAUUAUCAUAGUUAUAUGAACCAACAAAUAGACAAACUGAAACUAAUCCGAGAAGAAGCAGUUGUUAAUGCACAAAAAGCAAGUGAAAUUAUGAAGGAACGCGAAAAAUAA